rnacentral:rRNA from 1 species
CUACGGGUUGCUCCAGUCGAGAAUCAUUCGCAAUGGGUGAAAGCCUGACGAUGCGACGCCGUGUGAACGAAGAAGGCCUUCGGGUUGUAAAGUUCUUUCGCUUGGGAGUAAGAGAGUAGGACGAAUAGUGCUACGAUUUGAGAGUACCAGGUAAAGAAGCACCGGCUAACUCCGUGCCAGCAGCUGCGGUAAUACGGAGGGUGCAAGCGUUAAUCGGAUUCAUUGGGCGUAAAGGGCGCGUAGGCGGCACUAUAAGUCGGUUGUGAAAUUCCUAGGCUUAACCUAGGAGCUGCGGCCGAAACUGUAGAGCUAGAGGAUAGACGGAGAAAAUGGAAUUCCACGUGUAGCGGUGAAAUGCGUAGAUAUGUGGAAGAACACCGGUGGCGAAGGCGGUUUUCUAGUCUAUAACUGACGCUGAGGCGCGAAAGCAAGGGGAGCAAACAGGAUUAGAUACCCGUGUAGUC